rnacentral:rRNA from 1 species
GCUUACACAUGCAAGUCGAACGAUGAACCGCCUUCGGGCGGGGAUUAGUGGCGAACGGGUGAGUAACACGUGGGCAAUCUGCCCUGCACUCUGGGACAAGCCCUGGAAACGGGGUCUAAUACCGGAUACUGAUCCGCCUGGGCAUCCCGGUGGUUCGAAAGCUCCGGCGGUGCAGGAUGAGCCCGCGGCCUAUCAGCUUGUUGGUGAGGUAAUGGCUCACCAAGGCGACGACGGGUAGCCGGCCUGAGAGGGCGACCGGCCACACUGGGACUGAGACACGGCCCAGACUCCUACGGGAGGCAGCAGUGGGGAAUAUUGCACAAUGGGCGCAAGCCUGAUGCAGCGACGCCGCGUGAGGGAUGACGGCCUUCGGGUUGUAAACCUCUUUCAGCAGGGAAGAAGCGCAAGUGACGGUACCUGCAGAAGAAGCGCCGGCUAACUACGUGCCAGCAGCCGCGGUAAUACGUAGGGCGCAAGCGUUGUCCGGAAUUAUUGGGCGUAAAGAGCUCGUAGGCGGCUUGUCACGUCGGUUGUGAAAGCCCGGGGCUUAACCCCGGGUCUGCAGUCGAUACGGGCAGGCUAGAGUUCGGUAGGGGAGAUCGGAAUUCCUGGGUGUAGCGGUGAAAUGCGCAGAUAUCACGAGGACACCGGUUGGCGAACGCGGAUCUCUGGGCCGAUACUGACGCUUGAGGAGCCGAAGCGUGGGGAGCGAACAGGAUA